UACGUAGGGGGCUAGCGUUGUCCGGAUUUAUUGGGCGUAAAGAGCGUGUAGGCGGCCUGGUAGGUCAGCUGUGAAAACUCGAGGCUCAACCUCGAGACGCCGGUUGAAACCAUCAGGCUAGAGUCCGGAAGAGGAGAGUGGAAUUCCCGGUGUAGCGGUGAAAUGCGCAGAUAUCGGGAAGAACACCCGUGGCUAAGGCGGCUCUCUAGUACGGUACUGAUGCUGAGACGCGAAAGCGUGGGGAGCGAACAGG
rnacentral:rRNA from 1 species